rnacentral:tRNA from 1 species
GAGGGAGGCUCGCAGCAGUGAAAACUGCUAAUUUUCAUAACCCCGGUUAAACCCCAGGGCUCACUCG